UGGGGAAUUUUGGACAAUGGGCGCAAGCCUGAUCCAGCCAUGCCGCGUGCGGGAAGAAGGCCUUCGGGUUGUAAACCGCUUUUGUCAGGGAAGAAAUCUUCUGAGUUAAUACCUCGGGAGGAUGACGGUACCUGAAGAAUAAGCACCGGCUAACUACGUGCCAGCAGCCGCGGUAAUACGUAGGGUGCAAGCGUUAAUCGGAAUUACUGGGCGUAAAGCGUGCGCAGGCGGUUUUGUAAGACAGAGGUGAAAUCCCCGGGCUCAACCUGGGAACUGCCUUUGUGACUGCAAGGCUUGAGUGCGGCAGAGGGGGAUGGAAUUCCGCGUGUAGCAGCGAAAUGCGUAGAUAUGCGGAGGAACACCGAUGGCGAAGGCAAUCCCCUGGGCCUGCACUGACGCUCAUGCACGAAAGCGUGGGGAGCAAAACAGGAUUAGAUAGCCCUGGUAGUCCACGCCCUAAACGAUGUCAACUGGUUGUUGGGAAGGUUCCUUCUCAGUAGCGUAGCUAACGCGUGAAGUUGACCGCCUGGGGAGUACGGCCGCAAGGUUG
rnacentral:rRNA from 1 species